GACGAACGCUGGCGGCGUGCCUAAUACAUGCAAGUUGAGCGCUGAAGGUUGGUACUUGUACCAACUGGAUGAGCAGCGAACGGGUGAGUAACGCGUGGGGCAUCUGCCUUUGAGCGGGGGACAACAUUUGGAAACGAAUGCUAAUACCGCAUAAAAACUUUAAACACAAGUUUUAAGUUUGAAAGAUGCAAUUGCAUCACUCAAAGAUGAUCCCGCGUUGUAUUAGCUAGUUGGUGAGGUAAAGGCUCACCAAGGCGAAGAUACAUAGCCGGCCUGAGAGGGAGAUCGGCCCCAAUGGGACUGAGACACCGCCCAAACUCCUACGGGAGGCAGCAGGAGGGAAUCAUCGGCAAUGGACGAAAGUCUGACCGAGCAACGCCGCGGGAGUGAAGAAGGGUUUCGGAUCGUAAAACUCUGUUGGUAGAGAAGAACGAUGGUGAGAGUGGAAAGCUCAUCAAGUGACGGUAACUACACAGAAAGGGACGGCUAACUACGUG
rnacentral:rRNA from 1 species